rnacentral:rRNA from 1 species
UACGUAGGAGGCGAGCGUUGUCCGGAAUUACUGGGCGUAAAGAGCGCGUAGGCGGCACUGUACGACCGCUGUGAAAGCCCCCGGCUCAACUGGGGAGGGUCAGUGGUAACGGCAGAGCUCUGAGUGCAGGAGAGGGAAGUGGAACUCCGGGAGUAGCGGUGAAAUGCGUAGAGACCCGGAGGAACACCAGUGGCGAAGGCGGCUUCCUGGUCUGCGACUGACGCUGUGGCGCGAAAGCUAGGGGAGCGAACGGG